UUUUUUUUUUUUUUUUUUUUUUGUCUUUUUUUGUUGUGGUUGUUGUUGUUGUUGCUAUUUCUUGAGCCGCUCCCGCGGCAUAUGGAGGUUCCCAGGCUAGGGGUUGAAUCGGAGCUGUAGCCACCGGCCUACGCCAGAGCCACAGCAACGCGGGAUCCGAGCCGCGUCUGCAACCUACACCACAGCUCACGGCAACGCCGGAUCCUUAACCCACUGAGCAAGGGCAGGGACCGAACCCGCAACCUCAUGGUUCCUAGUCGGAUUCGUUAACCACUGCGCCACGACGGGAACUCCUACUUCUCUUACUCUUGUAUCUUUGAGUUUUCACUGGGCACGGUCAAGCUGUGGCUCUAACUUUGCCACUCUUCAGAUAAGCCACACUCUUUAAAAUGCCCAUCUUCACUGGGUGACUGGGGAGAGCCCCUCCCCCCAAAUCCCCACCCGUGUCCAGGUCCGUCUCCCCUCCCACCGCUCUUCCAGCAGCCAGGCCCACGGCUGCACUGAAUGGGCCUUGCCGCGUGCUUUAUCUCUGCUGGGCUAACCGCUCUCAUUCCUCUUUUCUCCUGAGUUUUUUUUUUUUUUUUUUUUUUUUUUUUUUUGUCUUUUGUCUUUUUUUGUUGUUGUUGUUGCUAUUUCUUGGGCCGCUCCCGCGGCAUAUGGAGCCCUAAAAAGGAAAAAAAAAAACAGGCUCUGCUGCCAUCCUGCUCUUUACCGAUUCUGCCCUCAAACCUGCUCCCUGGCACCUCCUGGCUCCCUUUCUCCCCCAGGGGCUGUUCUUCCACCCCUCAGACCUCGGCACCUGCUGGCUCUCCUCAGCCCCUCAGGCUCUCCUCUCGUGAGGGCCCACUCCUCAGGGCAUCUCUCCCUUGCCCACAUGCCUUGCUGGGGCCUCCUAAACCAGGGCUGGCUGUCACCAGCUCCCCUCUGAGCCCAGUCACAUAGGCAACGCCCCCACAGCUCCUGAGUACCUUCCAGGAACACAAAGUGAAACCCGGACUUCCGCCCACAAACCGGUUCCUCUCUCAGCUGCCCCCAGUUGGUCAAUAAGAGCAUCAGCCAGCCUGUUGUUCAAACAGACUGGACGUCACCCUGGCUCUUCCCUCUACCUUACUCCCCAGUCCCACAACACCUUCCGUCCUUCUGCCGCCUGUCUGCAAAAUAGACCUUGAAUCUCUCCACCUCCACUGCCCACACCCCAGGCCCAGCACAAACAUCCGCCACACAAUGACCCCGGUGGCUUAGAGCCCCCACUAGUUCCUUCCUCCCAGAUAACCCAGCCCCUGCCCUCCCUCUGACCUCACUUCCCGCACCGCCCGAGCCUUUCCUCCCUAAGGCCUGGCAUCACGGCCCAGGCCCGGGUACCCAGCGUGCUGGGUGCUUUCCUGCCCCGCCAGGUCUUUCCGGCGGGAGGACUGUCCUCGCGACUGAUCACGGGGCAGCCUGAGCGGGGGCCGGCCCGGCAGCUGGAGUCCAAGGUCCCCGCUGCUUCUCGCCCCCCCAGGCCUCCGUUACCCGCCGCCCCAUGACUCUCUCCUGCCAACGACCUGCCUGUCCUUUGAGGCCACCUGCGGAGGUUCUAGAGGGCACAGCUCGCCACGCCCCCUCCGCGAGUUGUCACAGCAGCGAGACCGGCGGCGAGGAAAGGCGGGCUGCUGGAGAAGGCACCGUGACCCGCCCAGCCGAGGAGAGCGGGCGCGGCCCGGGCCGGGCGGGCGCAGGCAGCGACCCUCCGCCACCGCCCGCCGCUCGCCCGGAAGUCCCC
rnacentral:lncRNA from 1 species